rnacentral:rRNA from 1 species
GAGAUUUUCGCAAUGCCCGAAAGGGUGACGAAGCGACGCCGCGUGCGGGAAGAAGGCCUUCGGGUUGUAAACCGCUGUCGGGAGUUAAGAAAUGUAAGGAUGUUAAUAGCAUCUUUGCUUGACUAAGGCUCCGGAGGAAGCCACGGCUGACUCUGUGCCAGCAGCCGCGGUAAUACAGAGGCGGCAAGCGUUGUUCGGAAUUAUUGGGCGUAAAGAGCACGUAGGCGGCUAUGUAAGUCGGUUGUGAAAGCCUUCCGCUCAACGGGAGAACAGCAUCCGAUACUGCAUGGCUUGAGUGCGGGAGGGGAGAGUGGAACUUCUGGUGGAGCGGUGAAAUGCGUAGAUAUCAGAAGGAACGCCGGCGGCGAAAGCGGCUCUCUGGCCCAUAACUGACGCUGAGUGUGCGAAAGCUAGGGGAGCAAACGGGAUUAGAUACCCCGGUAGUCCUAGCCGUAAACGAUGGGCACUAAGUAGAGGGGUUUUA